UACAGAGGGGGCAAGCGUUAUUCGGAAUUAUUGGGCGUAAAAGGGCGCGGUAGGCGGCCAUUCAAGUGACGGGUGAAAGCCCUCGGCUUAACCGAGGAACUGCCUGUCAGACUGGAUGGCUUGAGACCGGGAGAGGUGAGUGGAAUUCCCAGUGUAGCGGUGAAAUGCGUAGAUAUUGGGGAGGAACACCAGUGGCGAAGGCGGCUCACUGGACUGGUACUGACGCUGAGGCGCGAAAGCGUGGGGAGCAAACGGGG
rnacentral:rRNA from 1 species